GCGGGCAUAGUUGAAUGGUCCAACAUCAGCUUUCCAAGCUGAGAACGGGGGUUCGAUUCCCCCUGCCCGCUCUA
rnacentral:tRNA from 2 species